ACGGGAGGCAGCAGUGGGGAAUAUUGGGCAAUGGGCGCAAGCCUGACCCAGCAGCGCCGCGUGAAGGAUGAAGGUCCUCGGAUUGUAAACUUCUUUGAUCAGGGACGAAUUUUGACGGUACCUGAAGAACAAGUCACGGCUAACUACGUGCCAGCAGCCGCGGUAAUACGUAGGUGACAAGCGUUAUCCGGAUUUACUGGGUGUAAAGGGCGUGUAGGCGGUUUAGCAAGUCAGAAGUGAAAUUCCCGGGCUUAACUUGGGCGCUGCUUCUGAAACUGCUAGACUUGAGUGCUGGAGGGGAUAGCGGAAUUCCUAGUGGAGCGGUAAAAUGCGCAGAUAUUAGGAAGAACACCGGUGGCGAAGGCGGCUAUCUGGACAGUAACUGACGCUGAGGCGCGAAAGCGUGGGGAGCAAACAGGAUUAGAUACCCUGGUA
rnacentral:rRNA from 1 species